rnacentral:rRNA from 1 species
UACGUAGGGUGCAAGCGUUGUCCGGAAUUAUUGGGCGUAAAGAGCUCGUAGGCGGUCUGUCGCGUCUGCUGUGAAAACUCAGGGCUUAACCCUGAGCUUGCAGUGGGUACGGGCAGACUAGAGUGCGGUAGGGGAGACUGGAAUUCCUGGUGUAGCGGUGAAAUGCGCAGAUAUCAGGAGGAACACCGGUGGCGAAGGCGGGUCUCUGGGCCGUAACUGACGCUGGAGGCGACGGAAAGCUAGGGGAGCAAACAGG